CCUACGGGCGGCAGCAGUGGGGAAUAUUGCACAAUGGGGGAAACCCUGAUGCAGCGACGCCGCGUGAGUGAAGAAGUAAUUCGUUAUGUAAAGCUCUAUCAGCAGGGAAGAAAAUGACGGUACCUGAGUAAGAAGCCCCGGCUAACAACGUGCCAGCAGCCGCGGUAAUACGUAGGGGGCAAGCGGUAUCCGGAUUUACUGGGUGUAAAGGGAGCGUAGACGGAGGUGCAAGUCUGGGGUGAAAGGACGGGCUCAACCCCCGGACUGGUCUGGAAACUGUACGGCUGGAGUGCAGGAGAGGUAAGUGGAAUUCCUAGUGUAGCGGUGAAAUGCGGAGAUAUUAGGAGGAACACCAGUGGCGAAGGCGGCUUACUGGACUGUAACUGACGUUGAGGCUCGAAAGCGUGGGGAGCAAACAGGAUUAGAUACCCCAGUAGUC
rnacentral:rRNA from 1 species